UAUCUUGGCUGACGAGAUUAUUUUAUUUUGCAGAGUCUGUGCACUUAUCUUCUCUACAUUCUACAUGGGCAUUAAAAUUUUGGCACUGGAACAGCGGCUGACAUCCAUGAGCUCUUUAGCAGACUUCCACUCUAGCACAGACCAAAUGAGGAGUAGAGACCCAGAACCCCAUCUGAAUGUGAAUGCAGAUAUAAUUUAUGAAGAAUUGACUGCCAAUUUAGCAAGACUAGAAAAGGUACAGAAGAAUCUAGAAAGGCUCCUGAGGGAAACUGAAUGAGCCAUCUUAUUGGAAUCUAUGAUGUGGAAAGACUACAGUGCCUCACUGUACAGAAAUUUAAUUUGACAGUACCUCAAAAUCUCUGCUGGACAGAGCUGUACAAGAACAGGGUUGAAAGUAUAUAUUUUUAAUGAAGAUCAAGUUUUUGAUAAAUGUGGUGUUACAGCCAGUUUGCCAUUAAAAUGAGGAUUUUCAUGGUGCAAUAGAAAAGCGAUUCUGCCACAAAUCCUGUUCUUUGGGGGAAGGUGGUCUGUUCUCCGUUGUGGUCAUUUAUCUACUGAUACUGCAUAUCUGUGAACUUUGCAGAAACAUGCAUUUUUUAACUACAGCAUUAAAAUCUGCAUAAAUAGGGCAAGCCCUCAAGGAGAUAUCCAGGUGUAUCUAGACACUCCAUGAUCUGCUGUGCUGUUAGUAGAGAUGAGGUGUACACCUUCCUGGUGUGGCACACUACUGAAUGACUUGCUAUGCAAAUGAUCUAUCCAUAAAACCUAGAAAUACUUUUAUUAUGUUUGCGGAUGGAAAGUAGUUGAAACAUUAUGCAAAUGAUCUAUCCACAAAACCUAGACAUACUUUUCUAUGUUUGCCGAUGGAAAGUAGUUGGAACAGCAAAGAAAAUAUUUUUUCUAAAGAGACCAUUUUUAUAUGGUGCAGGAUAACUUUUCUUGGUGAGCAGAACUUAUUUUAAUACACUUUUAUCGUAAUUAUGACUUGCAUAUAGUUAUGUGAUCACAAUGUUGGUGGAAUUUCUUACACAAAUUUAUAUAACUUGGCAUUAUCACUGGUCUGAGGUCAGCUUCUCUUACAUUAAACCCCCUUCUAAACAUUUCUAUGAAAUGUAUUGUAUGUGUCGAGUCUCUCAUGCUAUUGUUAAAAAAAAAUACAAAAAGUAUCUUGUACCACUGCAGAACUGCCAAGGAAGAAUAAACUUGUUAUUUAGACUGCAGUAUUUUAGUGAAACUGAAUAAAGAGUCACAUGACAAAA